rnacentral:rRNA from 1 species
GCCGCGGUAAUACGGAGGGGGCUAGCGUUGUUCGGAUUUACUGGGCGUAAAGGGCGCGUAGGCGGAUGUUCGCGUCAGAGGUGAAAGCCCUGGGCUCAACCUGGGAACUGCCUUUGAUACUGGCUGUCUUGAGUUCGGGAGAGGUGAGUGGAAUGCCGAGUGUAGAGGUGAAAUUCGUAGAUAUUCGGCGGAACACCAGUGGCGAAGGCGACUCACUGGCCCGAUACUGACGCUGAGGCGCGAAAGCGUGGGGAGCAAACAG